AAUUUGAUUUUUUUUUUAAAAUAUAUCUACUAUUUCUGAAUAGGAGGAAGUACUGAGCAGUAAGAAAUGUUCAGUUUUCAGGUUAUGUAAGGAAUGAGAAAUUUUAAGAGGGGAAAGACUCGACCCAUGCAUGCACGCUCACAUUGUACCAAUGCAGGUGAAAUCCCAAUAUUUUCACAGGAACUUCGUGAAACAUCUUGCGGCAAUCAAUGUUUGUUUCUUCAAAAACUCGGAGGUUCCAGAAGACCGGUUAAUUUCACAAACUCAAUGGUGUCCCUUAUCCCUUGCUUUACGCACAUGUCUGAUGACCAUGCUUUGCGGAACAUCUGGCUGCCGAAAGCCGUGUUCUGUGGAUAUUCUGCAGUGUUGUACUAUCACCGGAGCUGGCAACUGCAGAUCUAGAAGAAAUGGUCCAUGUGUUCCUUUCUCAUCUGUAAAAUCAUGCCGAGGAACGAAGGUUAGCUUCACUCAGUUUUGGCUCAUCUAUAGCGGAGUCUUCGCUCAGCUUUGGCUGCCUGUUGAGAUAUUGAAGAUUCCGGAACAUGCAUGGUGCACAAAAGUUCUCGAAAUUGAAACGCUGCUCCGUCCAACAGCGGAGUAACUAGCGUGCAGUACAUGUUGCCGUACAUGGAUGCAUGUUCGCAUGUGCCCCUGACAUCGUACGCAUAGAAACAUCCCCAUCAAGCAAUAAUUUCCGAACAGCGUUUGUCUGCCUAGUAGUAACUACCACGCACCAAACUACAGCUUUGCAAGAAGACCAGAGACCGGAGAACAGAUCCAGUUGACCAGUGUUGUUAUGGACUGUACAUUCAUGGACGGGGAAAAAGUGGUCAAAGGAGCUGUACAGUAACCAUUCACCAUUACCACUGCCAAGUCCAGCUGGUCCAGCCCAAGUUAAUUGGAGGCUUGCACGCCAAACACGAGGACGACGACGGCUGCAGACGCAAACCACGGUGACGACGCCGAUCUCCUGGUGUGCUAGCUCCUCCGAGGCUGGCAGCCGUCGUGAUCGGCGCGGCACGGGUU